rnacentral:rRNA from 1 species
UACGGAGGGGGCCAGCGUUGCUCGGAAUUAUUGGGCGUAAAGGGCGCGUAGGCGGUCUGGUAAGUUUGAUGUGAAAUCCCAUGGCUCAACCAUGGAACUGCAUCUCAUACUGCCGGACUAGAGUCUGGGAGAGGGAAGUGGAAUUCCCGGUGUAGCGGCGAAAUGCGUAGAUAUCGGGAGGAACACCAGUGGCGAAGGCGGCUUCCUGGACCAGUACUGACGCUGAGGCGCGAAAGCUAGGGGAGCAAACAGG